AUGUGUUUGGCGAAGUACAGCGCUCCCGAUCCCGCGACCAUAAACAUGAGGAAGAGCGCGAUCACGGACACGGUGAGGAAGGUGUCCAGACACCGGCUGCGGGAGCGCGCGGCGGGCGACUGGCUCUCAACAUCUGCGGACGCGGACAUCUCGAGAAACGGCGUAUCCCUGUGUCUGAAAAAGGAAGGGUGUGUUUGUUACCUGCAUGUGAAUACCUGUGCGCCUGAGGCUCUACAGGAAGUGAUGUCACCCGCACAGGUGUAUAGGAGCAGCUCUACGCCUACAGUAAGAGUCACUUUCUCAGUUCCCUGUUUACUCCUGUCACUUCCUGUAUGACAUCACUGACCUGUUCAACAACACCUGUUUUCGUAUCUUCAUAGCUCUAAGUGUGGGUGUUUUUAGACGAAACAAAAAUUACAGAGCUCUCUCUUGUGUGCUUUAGUGAGUUACUGAAUCUGUUUCUGUAGUGCAUUCAUCACAUGAGGGCUUCAUUCUUCUCGAUUUCUGGCAGCUUCCCUUUUGAAAGUGACUCUGCAGCGCUUCCUGAAUGUGGACGGGUCUUUAAUUUUCCAGACAUGUGAUCAGAUCGUACUUUGGGGAAAAGUAAACAAGACACAUUCUGGAAAACCCAGCUCUAAAACUAAAAAAAAAAAAAAGACAUCCACCCAUCCUUCACCAGAAACUAUGAGUUGCAGUUGAUUUGUUUUACAUUUAUCAGGAUUUUCAAAGUUCAGUCAUCAGAUCGGGAGUUCAUAUGGAUUUUUUUUUUUUUUUAAUCUCUCUCUCAGUCAUUUAAUCUCAGCCUUAUCUGUUUUUUUUUUAGUUACUUUGGCUUAAAUGAUAACCAUCCAUGCAUUUGAUCUCCAUUGUCUAUUAUUCAGCUCUACACAAAGAAAGGUUUUCCAAAUAAUGGCUGUAUGAGCACAUGCAUGAGCUGUAUGAGCCGUGGGAACAUAUUUUAUCUGGGGGCGGGGCUUGAUGUCGCAGGGCGGGGCCACGGUGGGGGAUCUUAGACAAAAUCCUAAUAUUAAACACUUAUAUACUGUAGAGGAGCAUACCAAUGAAUGGAGACAGAGUUAAAUGAGAACCAAUAUAUAUUGCUUUUAUGAUUUUAGUUCAAGACUUUUUUUCUUUAAUAUUUCUGUUAUUUAGGGGGGUUUUACUAAAUAUUAACAUUGCUAAUUGGCCAAAUUUUUGGUCAGUGCACGCACUCUGCACUUUGGCGAAUUCUCUCUUCAGAACCAACAUGCGAUGAUUCAUUCAUCAUACACUGCAGACUGGAGCUUUUCUUUAGAGUGCUU
ensembl:lncRNA